UAUUCCGGGUCCUAACCCCGCCUCCCAGCUGUUUUUGUCAUUAAAGAGGGUGGAGAGGCGGAGACUUAUUGCCGCGCGUAGUGGAGUUGAUUCCUGGCCCUGGUUUUUGGCCUGCGUCUCAAGCGUAGAAACAAUCUAAAGAACUUGAACAUAAUCUCCAGAAGUAAGAUAUGGAAAAGGUCCAUGGAGGAGAAUAAGCAGACAGUUCCUGGAAUUCUCUUGAAGCUGAGUAGCUAAAGAUAAAAAAGCAUGAAAGCGGUUUGCAUGAGGCUGAGGGGUGUGAAGAUAGAAGUCUGGCGGUCUCCGGUCUCCGCGGGCACUGAAUCAGUAAGAACACUCCCUUCGUUGUCUUCCAUUCUCAAUUUAUCUCCAUUGAAAAUGGGUGGAUUCUCACACAUGAGUGAGUUUCAAUAACUUAGCAGACUUUCACUUGUGGUUCUUAUUCGUGAUUAACUUAAAUCGCUUCAGUCAGCCAUUGAUUGCCUGCUUGUGCAA